AAUCAACGCUGGCGGCGUGCCUCAGACAUGCAAGUCGAACGCGAAAGUCCCCUUCGGGGGACAAGUAGAGUGGCGCACGGGUGAGUAACACGUAGGUAAUCUACCUUCGGAUGGGGGGAUAACAAUCGGAAACGGUUGCUAAUACCGCAUAAUGCAGCGGCACCUAAUGGUGACAGUUGUUAAAGCGGGGGAUCGAAAGACCUCGCGUCUGAAGAGGAGCCUGCGGCGGAUAGCUAGUUGGUAAGGUAACGGCUUACCAAGGCGACGAUCCGUAGCCGGCCUGAGAGGGCGGUCGGCCACACUGACACUGACAUAC
rnacentral:rRNA from 1 species